UUUGUCCAUUUUAUAGGUGGUAUUUUAGAAUUACAAAGCUACAUGUUAAAGAAUUUUAAUCUUACUGUUGAAAAAAUAAUAAACUAGUUUUAAACUUGCCUUUGACUUCAAAGAGUAAUUGUUUGUUAAAUGUAAUUAGGUCAAGAGGCUUCAUAAUUGACAAGAUUUAGGUCAGUUGUAAUAAAGUCCAAGCCCUUAAAAUCGGUAAAUAGGUAUACCAAUUACCUAAGUGAUCCACUAUUUUAGAGUAAAAAUCAUGAAAGAAAUCCAUUAAAGAUGAUAAGUGUAAAAGUUUACCAAUCAACUACUAAUGGAUUUUAUUUUAACUUCCUUAUUUUAAAAUAACCUUAAAUUUGCUAUGAAUGGAGAGCUAUAAACAUUAAAUCAGCUUGAAGUGCAUCAUUCAAGUUCCAGAGAAAUCUCACAGCGCUUAUUGAAUUUCAUUAUAAUGGCACAGUGUCAAUUUGAAUAUUAUUUGCACAAAAUGAAAUGCAUUAAUUGGGUUUUCUAAUCAUUUUGAAAAGAACUGUUAUGCAGG
rnacentral:lncRNA from 1 species